rnacentral:rRNA from 1 species
GACGAACGCUGGCGGCGUGCCUAAUACAUGCAAGUCGAACGCCGUGGGGACGGGUGAGUAACACGUGGGUAACCUCCCAUCAGAGGGGAUAACACUUGGAAACAGGUGCUAACCCGAUAAUGCUGGAUGGACCCGCGGUGCAUUAGCUAGUUGGUGCGGUAACGGCUCACCAAGGCCACGCUGCAGGGCCGACGUAAGAGGGUGAUCGGCCGGACUGGGACUCAUGGACGGCCCAGACUGCUCCGGCAGGCAGCGGUAGUGAAACUUGGGCAAAGGACGAAAGUCUGAACGGGCAACGGCGCGGGAGUGAAGAGGGUUUUGGGAGCGUAAGACUCGGUAGUUAGAGAAGGGGUAGGUAACCAGAAAGCGACGGCUAACUACGUGCCAGCAGCCGCGGUAAUAC